ensembl:lncRNA LINC02096 long intergenic non-protein coding RNA 2096
GGUAACUUGGUUGGGUGUUCUUCUCUGCUGUGUAGGCUUUGUUCUUUUGCUCUUUGCAGUAAAUGUUGCUGCUGCUGACUGUUGGGUCCCAGCCGUCUUUAAAAGCUAUUACACUCACGGUGAAGGUCUGUGGUUUCACUCCUGAAAUCAAGCGAGUGUACGAACCCACCGGAAGGAAGAAACUCCAGACUCCGAAGGAACAAACUCUGGACACACCAAAUGUAAGAAUUGUAACACUCACCGCGACGGUCCGUGGCGUCCACCCUCGCAGCUUCUUUCUUGAAGUCGCCGAGACCAAGAGCGCACCGAAAGGAACCAAUUGUGGACACAUCCGUUUUAGUGGAAUAAUAGUCCUUGGUUCUCUGGACAACCGGGAGAAUUGCAUUUUCUGAGGCCCACGAUAAGCACCCAACCGUUAAUAUUUCCAUGCUUCUCUGUCCAUCCCAUGGAGCCUGGGGCUUGAGGGACUGUGCAGUGAGGCAGCAACUCACAUCUCCAGCUGUUGGACUGGUCCUGCCAGCGACGUCUGCUCAGUAGAACAAGCAGCACUUCCCCCAGCUCAGCACUGUCUCAUUUCUGAGACUGAACACCCCGUGGUCACUCUACAUGGAUGGGUUAAUUUCCCUUGGAAAAGUAUUGAUGAUCAAGUGAUGCUAGCAGCAACAGUGUUAAAGGCUUUAACGCUUUUAAAGGUGAGACUUUUGGGAGUUGAUUAGGUCAUGAGGAUGGAGCCUGGUGAAUGGGAUCAGUGAAAGAGGCCUGAUGUGAGUGCCAUCCACGGAAAAGGCCUAUAAACAAUGACCAACCCAUUAAUAGUGAGCACCCAGAUUAAGAGCUCUAAAUACCAUUUCCCACAUAGAAACCUCAGAGAAAUGGCUAAUUUCAGGACUGAGGCAGGAAAAAUACAAGGCCCUGAUUAGGUUAUUGACAUUGGCCACAUCAGUGUCACAGAGUUUCUUCACAGCCUGUUUGAUCUGGCACUUGUUGGCUUUGGCAUCCACAGUGAACACAGGCAUGUGGUUGUCUUCUGUCUUCAUGGUGGACUCGGCAGUUGGGAGCCUGACGAUGGAUGGCAUGAUGGUCAAGCUUGUUUCUCCUGGGGGUGCUCUUCUGAAGACAUUUGAGCUGCCUCUGGAACCACAGUGUCUUGGGUCCCAGAAGGAAACUCCAAGGAACAGAGGAGCUCAGAGAAGACUAGAACUCUGUAUUCCGUACCCGUAAACAAUUUGUAUAAGCAAAAUAAAACUUUUUAACUUUCCUCAUCCCAA